rnacentral:lncRNA from 1 species
CCGAAACGCAUCACAAAAUAAUCAAAUUCACUGUUAGCAGUAACUGGAAAGAAUACAAAAGAAAUCACUGUAUGCUUGCGCCCUCUCUCAAAGAAUAUAUCACUUUAGGGAAAGAGUAUUAAAAAAGAACGAGUCAUCACAGCGCCUCGGUAGCGCAGUAGGCAGCGCCGAUACUGCAAUUUGCAAGCAAACAGCCCAUUAAGAGAAGACCACCGACUGUUUUUCUUUUUACAAGAGGAAGAUUUUCUCUGUAUUGUCGUGGACGUUUUCAAUUCUUUUGGAAGAAGAUCGGAUAAAAAUUACAUCGAUGUUCAGUUAUGAUUGAACAGAGAAUAAUGAGAGGACAGAUGAAAAUAGCAUCGUCGUCGUCAUCGUGGAAAAAUCAACAUAGCGUUUCUUCCGGAAGAAAGACGUAGGGAAAGGGACAGUGGAGAUGAGUGGAUACUGCGAAGGAAAUAGAGAAAAGUAAGUAUGUAGAGUACGUGAUUCAAGGAAAAAAGUCUGCAUCGAUGAGAGGGCGGCUUUAUCCGUUCACUGCGGAGCUGUUACGUAUAAAUGCAGAAAUGCGGCCCGGUUCGCGGAGGUUGAGCGAUCGUUGGUGGGAGCGAGCUUGAUUCCGCGUUGAUUCAGACCGUAUUCAGUGCAUCGAGCUCGCGAUGAAAAGGCAUUCCGUUUUCUGAAUAUAUUCCAAUUAAAAAGUCGGAGCUUCGUUGCCCUCACCUCUGCCCGCUCACCUCCUGCCUUUGCCCCAUCCCCCGAAAGAGAUAGGGAAAGAGAGAGAGAGACAGAGAUAGAAAUAAAGUUAGAGAGAGAGAAAGCAAACACCGGCUCAAGCGCCAGCUCGAGCGCCCUUCUUCUUCGUCUACGUCCCGCUAUCCCGUACCACCGACCCCCUUUUACUUCUGCCUUUUGCCUUCCGCCCCUACCGACGACGCGAUCCCUUUUUCCUAUCGCUCGACCAACCAGACAUUUUCUCCCUCUCGCUGUUUCUCCAGCAAUUACUUCUCCGCUUUUUCUUCUUUCCUCUCUUCCACUUUCCUAUCUUUUUUUUCCCCUUUCUAAAGAACUCUUUCUACCAUUUUCUUCGUCAAUCCUUUCUAAUAUAAACCCUGACUCGAUUUCAUCUCUAUAUUUUUAUUAUUUUUAAUUAUUGUUUUACUAUUUAGGAACAUAAAGAUUAUCUAUGGAAUAUAUGAUAUACACAUUCAAGUAUAGAAAAGAUUUCUUCGUCGAUAUUCUUUAUCAAAGAACACGUUUGCUCUUAUCUUUGGAUUAUACUCUACGUAAUUGUCUUUGGCAUGGGAAACGGCGAAUCAAGCUGUUGUUUUUAUCCUCUACACCCGAAGAACAAAUGUAAAUUCGAGGCGUAUGUUUGCGCACGUACGACUAGGAACUCCCAUGAAGUAUUUAACGAUGCCGCAGAACGAAGGCACAUCCUAAGCCUAAGGAGAGGAAAAGACGAUGAGGAAUACGAAGCGCGUGCCCAAGUGCCAACAGGACUUACGCACGUAUGCACGAGCGUCUGCAAGCGCGUAUGCACGCGCGUGUGUACGGAUAUUCGCUGGAGUAUAAUGCGCACGUGGCUGGGCACACGCAACACCACUUGUCUACUUCAACUUUCGAUUCCUUCUAUCCCUUCGUGAAUGAUCCUUGGGUCAACUUUUCGUCCUUGAUCUCUAGACUGCACCACCACUGAACAAAGUUAUGAGAGACGACACCCUGUAACAAAUACAACUUUGCUAUUAAUAUCAUCACUAGCUCAUUAGCAGAAGUUAACUCAUUUGCAUUUUACGAUAGAAUGAAAAAUGUAUCCAUCAAAUUUGUUUUUUCUUCAUCAAUACUAAAUAGAGUACAAUAAUAUUUUAAGGAGUAAUUUGAAUAUUAUUGGCUAUAGGCGUUCUGGUGAUAAUUAUGCAAGAAAAAUUAUGCGCGUAUGUGCGUUAAUGAUGCAAAUUGGUUAAGAUACAAGUAGAAUUCAUUUUUGUUAAAUGAUAUUUAAUGAUAUAUCUUAUAUCUAUACGUGAUACGAAUAUGUAAAACGAGAUAGGAGUAGCUAGUAGAAUCUAAAUUAACGCGAUUAUAUUUAGAAACGGUCUAAUGAAUUUAAAUUUGUUCGUAGAGAUAAAACGUUCUAAUUAUAUCGCUAGCGCGUUUUAAUUAUUUCGUUGGUUUAAUGGUUAACAUUUGAGAGAAAAUGGAAGAAACGAAUGUAGUAAGUAAAGGUCGAAGAACAGUAACCGACUGAAUAGCGAAUGCCGUUGGAUAUCAUUGUGAAUACUGUACCGAAUGAUUAUGUGGAAGUAAUUACGCGUAAGAGAUUACGUAGGAAUAUCGUUGAGAUUUCGUUUCAACUAUGCUGCGGUGAGUCUUA